rnacentral:rRNA from 1 species
GAGAACUCUGACCAUUGACGCCGCGUGAGGGAUGAAGGCCUUCGGGUUGUAAACCUCUUUCAGCAGGGAAUAAGCGAAGUGAAGGUACCUGCAGAAGAAGCACCGGCUAACUAUGUGCCAGCAGCCGCGGUAAUACAUAGGGUGCAAGCGUUGUCCGGAAUUAUUGGGCGUAAAGAGCUCGUAGGUGGUCGAUCACGUCGGAUGUGAAAAUCUGAGGCUUAACCUCAGACCUGCAUUCGAUACGGGUUGACUAGAGUGUGGUAGGGGAGACUGGAAUUCCUGGUGUAGCGGUGGAAUGCGCAGAUAUCAGGAGGAACACCGAUGGCGAAGGCAGGUCUCUGGGCCAUUACUGACACUGAGGAGCGAAGGUGUGGGGAGCGAACAGGAUUAGAUACCCUGGUAGUCCACACCGUAAACGGUGGGCGCUAGUUGUGGGAACCUUCCACGGUUUCUGCGACGCAGCUAACGCAUUAAGCGCCCCGCCUGGGGAGUACGGUCGCAAGACUAAAACUCAAAAGAAAUUGACGGGGCCCCGCACAAGCAGCGGAGCAUGCGGCUUAAUUCGACCGCAACGCGAAGAAGCU